GACGAACGCUGGCGGCGUGCUUAACACAUGCAAGUCGAACGAAGUGGCGAACGGGUGAGUAACGCGUAAUCAACAUGCCCUUCAGAGGGGGACAACAGUUGGAAACGACUGCUAAUACCGCAUACUGAAGGAGGGGCUUGCGUCUGCUUAGCUAGUUGGAGGGGUAACGGCCCACCAAGGCGAUGAUAAGUAAGCGGGCUGAGAGGAGGAAUGGCAACAGUGGGACUGAGACACGGCCAAGACGCAUACGGGAGGCAGCAGUGGGGAAUCUGCCGAAAUGGAAGAAAGUCUGACGGAGAAACGCCGCGUGAGUGAUGACGGCCUUCGGGUUGUAAAGCUCUGUUAAUCGGGACGCGGUACCGGAAUAGAAAGCCACGGCUAACUACGUGCCAGCAGCCGCGGUAAUAC
rnacentral:rRNA from 1 species